rnacentral:rRNA from 1 species
AUUGAACGCUGGCGGCAUGCUUUACACAUGCAAGUCGAACGGCAGCGCGGGCUUCGUCCUGGCUGCGCGUGGCGCACGGGUGUGUAAUGCAUCGGAACGUCCCCAGCUGUGGGGGAUGGCCCCGCCAGAGCCCUAUUAAUACCGCCUACUACCUGAGCCUGCAAGCGGGUGACCGAAAGGCCUCGCGCUCUUUUAGCGGCCGACGUCGGACUUGCCAGUUUGUGGGGUAAAGGCUUACCAAGGCGACCAUCCGUAGCUGGUCUGAGAGGACGGUCGGCCGCACUGGAGCUGGGACACGGCCAAGGGUACUAAGGGAGGCAGCAGUGGGGAAUGUUAGACAAUGGGGGCAACCCUGAUCCAGCCAUGCCGCGUGCGAGAAGAAGGCCUUCGGGUUGUAAACCGCUUUUGUUCGGGAAGAAAUGCUCUGGGCUAAUACCACGGGGGGAUGACGGUACCGGAAGAAUAAGCACCGGCUAACUACGUG